rnacentral:rRNA from 1 species
GACGAACGCUGGCGGCGUGCCUAAUACAUGCAAGUCGAACGAACCGCGACUAGGUGCUUGCACUUGGUCAAGGUGAGUGGCGAACGGGUGAGUAACACGUGGGUAACCUACCUCAUAGUGGGGGAUAACAGUCGGAAACGACUGCUAAUACCGCAUAGGACAUGGGAUCACAUGAUUCUGUGAGGAAAGGUGGCGCAAGCUAUCGCUAAGAGAUGGACCCGCGGUGCAUUAGCUAGUUGGUAGGGUAACGGCCUACCAAGGCGAUGAUGCAUAGCCGACCUGAGAGGGUGAUCGGCCACAUUGGGACUGAGACACGGCCCAAACUCCUACGGGAGGCAGCAGUAGGGAAUCUUCCGCAAUGGACGCAAGUCUGACGGAGCAACGCCGCGUGAGUGAAGAAGGUCUUCGGAUCGUAAAGCUCUGUUGUUAGAGAAGAACAGCGCAUAGAGUAACUGUUAUGCGUGUGACGGUAUCUAACCAGAAAGCCACGGCUAACUACGU